UUAAAAUUAAAAUAUUUAAUUAGAUAAUUAAUUAAUUUUUAAUAAUAUCAUAUUUUAAAUUUAAAAAAAAUUAGGAUUUUUACAUUGUACAGUUACACAUUUAAUCACUUCUAACUCGCGUUCUGCAUUGAUAAAUUGCGUUCUUCAACCAGCCGCUAAUUGUCUCCCACUAUCCCCAAACCGUCGCCGUCCAAAUCAUGAGCCACCGCCGCCCAGCCGCAGCCGACGCCACAUACCUCUACGGCAACGUCCGAACAAGCCCCCCAUUCGUGUACAAGUUGUCCUUCGCACAGCCCACAAACGCGCCCAAUGUGUAGGCCCCCCGCAGCCCACCGCGUCCACCAUUCGUCUCCCUUACGUUUCUUCUGUUGCUAAUUAUUCCGGCACUGAAUGAUCAACACAGCGAAAAGAGCAUAUGCUUUGGCAACUACUACUGCUACAUCGUGAAGCCUAGAGUGUUUGCAGGGUGUGCAAUUUUAUCCUUUGCAAAUGUUGUCUUUGGUAUUGUCUAUUAUGUUACCUUAGUUGAGGAAAAAAAUUGUAACAACUCUUGUGAUUCCAUGUAUCCAAAUCAUGGAGGCAUAGCCAUGGGACAACCUCAGAUACCAACUCAGAAAAGACUCUUUGAGGCUUUCUUAGGUUCAUCAUCAAUUUGGCAGCCUUGUAAAGAUCAUCAUACAAGCAUGAUGUCAUCAUAGAUGAACAAUAAGGCAGCAGCACAGGAUGAAUUCGUCGAUGAAAACAUCAAUUCCAACAUACAACAAUAAAUCCAGCACCACCACCAAUGCAGAAAAGUACCAAACUUGUUAGUGCCAUGUUGGGGAAUAAUUCACUCAAUGUUGCAGCCCUACCACUUUAUGUAUCAAAAUCUUCUUUGUCUUUCAAGGAGCAGCCUAUGCCACAGCCACCUAUUGAGAAUUCUUUUCUCGGAGACCCUUAAGAGAACAAGGUCUGAAAAUGUUGCAGGAUCCAUGAGGGUAUUGAAUGAUGUGGGAGAGCUCAAUAACAACAAGUUGCAUAGGGAUUGAGAUACAUCAUGUACUAUACUUGAAGUCAUUUAAACUGAGGCAGAUGUUCAUUUUACUAUGAUUGCAGAUGGUUCUUUCCAUUCUAAAGUGAAUGGUUAUUUUGGGUAUACCAUUUGUAGUAUAAUUUAUUACCCUGCUGUGUUUAUGUAAACAAAAAAUUAAACUAAAAUAGGUCGGAUGUUCUUUUUA